UACAGAGGUCUCAAGCGUUUGUUCGGAUUCAUUGGGCGUAAAGGGUGCGUAGGCGGCGCGGUAAGUCGGGUGUGAAAUCUCGGAGCUUAACUCCGAAACUGCAUUCGAUACUGCCGUGCUUGAGGACUGGAGAGGAGACUGGAAUUUACGGUGUAGCGGUGAAAUGCGUAGAUAUCGUAAGGAAGACCAGUGGCGAAGGCGGGUCUCGUGGACAGUUCCUGACGCUGAGGCACGAAGGCCAGGGGGAGCAAACGGG
rnacentral:rRNA from 1 species